rnacentral:rRNA from 1 species
UACAGAGGGGGCAAGCGUUGUUCGGAAUUACUGGGCGUAAAGGGCGCGUAGGCGGCCUUCUAAGUCGAACGUGAAAUCCCCGGGCUCAACCCGGGAACUGCGUCCGAUACUGGAAGGCUUGAAUCCGGGAGAGGGAUGCGGAAUUCCAGGUGUAGCGGUGAAAUGCGUAGAUAUCUGGAGGAACACCGGUGGCGAAGGCGGCAUCCUGGACCGGCACUGACGCUGAUGAGCGAAAGCCAGGGGAGCAAACGGG